rnacentral:rRNA from 1 species
GCAGGGAAUCUUGCGCAAUGGGCGAAAGCCUGACGCAGCGACGCCGCGUGAGGGAUGAAGGCCUUCGGGUCGUAAACCUCUUUUCUCGGGGAAGAAUAAUGACGGUACCCGAGGAAUAAGUCUCGGCUAACUACGUGCCAGCAGCCGCGGUAAUACGUAGGAGGCGAACGUUAUCCGGAUUCAUUGGGCGUAAAGAGGGCGCGGGCGGCGCUCCAAGUCGGGUGUGAAAUAUCCUGACUCAAUCAGGAUGGGUCAUUCGAUACUGGAGUGCUUGAGGGCAGCAGAGGGAGAUGGAAUUCCCGGUGUAGUGGUGAUAUGCGUAGAUAUCGGGAGGAACACCAGUGGCGAAGGCGGUCUCCUGGGCUGUACCUGACGCUGAGGCCCGAAAGCGUGGGGAGCAAACCGGAUUAGAUACCCUGGUAGUCC